rnacentral:rRNA from 1 species
GAUCCUGGCUCAGGAUGAACGCUAGCGGCAGGCUUAACACAUGCAAGUCGAGGGGUAGAGGUUGCUUGCAACCUUGAGACCGGCGCACGGGUGCGUAACGCGUAUGCAACCUACCUUUACAGAGGGAUAGCCCAGAGAAAUUUGGAUUAAUACCUCAUGGUAUAUAUCAUUCGCAUGUUUGGUAUAUUAAAGUUCCAACGGUAAAAGAUGGGCAUGCGUCCUAUUAGCUAGAUGGUAAGGUAACGGCUUACCAUGGCAACGAUAGGUAGGGGUCCUGAGAGGGAGAUCCCCCACACUGGUACUGAGACACGGACCAGACUCCUACGGGAGGCAGCAGUGAGGAAUAUUGGACAAUGGGCGCAAGCCUGAUCCAGCCAUGCCGCGUGCAGGAAGAAGCAUCUAUGGUGUGUAAACUGCUUUUGUACGGGAAGAAACACUCCUUCGUGAAGGAGCUUGACGGUACCGUAAGAAUAAGGAUCGGCUAACUCCGUG